UACAAUCCUAGUGCUGUUGUCAGUGAAUUCUGCCCACAUCCCUCUCCAUGGAGACAGGGCUACUCUGUGCCUCUCCGUGGCUCUUGACUAAUACUGGCAGCAGGGAAGAGCACACCGAUGUGGGUAGAGACAUAUCAGGCUACAAUCCUCCAAAUCCCACCAGGAAAGCCACUGCAAGAUUAAUGAGUAUUGGAAAGCAGGCUUGCUGCAACGCUGGAGUCUCUGUAACCAUGUAGUGUGUCUGGAGUUCCCCUCCAUUGGGGGCCUAAUGGUACGAUCCGCCCGCAGAUGAUGGUGCGAUCCACAGGUCAUUCAGCACAGCGCCUGAACAAAGCAGCCUCUCUCAUGGCCCAUUACAGCCGUCCUAACGACCAAUAUGAUGACCCAAACCCUGCAGUCGGCUGUCCUCAAGUUGCCCAUUGAGAAAUAUUUAAAUACAUGUUCCUCCAUUUGCCUCCGAAGGUUGUAGUCGCGUUGUGAGGGGAACACCAAUAAAAAUGGUGGACUUUGGAUGACAUUCAGCUUCAUUUAAGGUUAAUAAUCUCUCUAAAAGGGAUCUUGCUACAAAUUAUGGAUAAUGAUUCUAAGUCGCUCUUAUUUUCUAAAUUUUUAUUUUAUUGUGGACAAACUGUGUCACAAUUUUUUUUUUACUUCAGACGAUCCACAUGCACCCAAACAUACACCCACUCAUGCUGACACACACACACACAAAAACAUGCAUAGAUCAUGGCUUUUGGAAGGAUCUGUGUGUGUGUGUGUGUGUGUGUGUGUGUGUGUGUGUGUGUGUGUGUGUGUGUGUGUGUGUGUGUGUGUGUGUGUGUGUGUGUGUGUGUGUGUGUGUGUGUGUGAGAGCAUAUAUGCGUGUGUGUGUGUGUGUGUGUGUGCCAGUGGGUGUGCCUGUGUGUCAGUAUGCAGGCCAGUAGAAGUUCAGCCCAGCUGUUCUUGCAACCUGAAGGGAGCCUAUAGGGAAGGAUGGAUUAAGAACGGACAGACUGCAAUGUCUGCUCUGAUCUCUCCUUUGACAGCUCCUGGCGUAUACAGUCACAUCUAUGCCUUAAAAGAGAAUUACAUAACCGGCUAAGUUGUUCUAAAAAUAAAUGCUUGUGUCAUAAUUUGUGAGGAUUGAUGUGCCCGUGUAUAUUUCUGAGAUUCACAUUUGAUCCGCAUAUUCCCAAGGGUUACAUAUAGUUACAGACAAACACACACACACAGACCCAAUAAAGUAGAUUGUCCCAUACCAAUUUGUGAUGUGGUGUUUUCAACUAUGCAUAACACUAUGCGGGAAAAACACAAACCAUUAUGUUUCCAU
ensembl:lncRNA